rnacentral:sRNA from 1 species
UUUUAAGUAUGGACUUGAAUAUGACAGUCUUUUCACUGAUGUCCAGGGAAUUUCUACCUUACAGUGCCCGGGGAAUGGGAUCUGGGGCUAGCUUUCUUCCUGAGAAAACCAGUCCUGGCUUUUGGGAUAUGGCUUCUCAUAUCUUGAAAGUACUCUGAUAUUCUGAAAGGAUGGUUGGUUGACACUACUGAGAGUCUACAGGGAGUGUGGGAAGUUACUCUUAGCAAACCUCAUAUUUUGGAAAGACAGAACCCAGGAAAGUUUAAUAAUUCCUGUAGGGACAGGAGUGCAGGCUGAGGUUGUUCACGGGAUGCAGGUGCUGUUCAACUUCUAAGUGCGGGCUGAGUUUAAUUCAACCCCCUUGGCCAGCACAGGCCCAGACAGGGCCUGGCUCUUUCUAGUCACCAAGUUGCCCUGACUCCCUGCCUUCUAGCAGAAUAACAAUUCGGGGGCAAUGUAGCGCUUGCCUUAUCUUCUUUGGGCUAGUUGGAGUUUCAGAGCAAAUACAUUCUUCUCUAGCCGGCUUAGCUUAAAGUCUGUUUACUUGUCCCCAGGAUAGGUGAAUAUUCAGAGGGCUCUGGGAAUGAGACCCAACAAACUGGACUUUGGUCCUCUCUUGCCACCAAUCACUCUGAUUCCUCCAGCUCCUACCUAGGGGAAUGUGUCAGCUAUAGAAGCAAUCUUGGCAUGCAGACUGGGGCAUAUCUCUUUAGGAAACUAGGUGCUGGGCUCAAAGUGAGCUGGGUUUAAGGUUUUAGUCCCCACAGUUUGGGGACACAAGCCAUUCACACAGCCUGCAACUGGGUCAGCACCUAGGAGGCUUUCAAAAACUGGGGCUCAGAUUUGUUCUGACCUCCAAGUAAAAGAAAUAAACAUUCUAGAGAUGCCCUGACACUGAGAUGGUGGAAGAGGGGAAGUUUCCUCAGUGAGCUGUAGAACAAAUGCCCUAGAAACUGCCCCCUGACAAGUAUCCCACUCAACUCCAGGCCGCGAUGGUUCAGGCAGUGGGGGGAUUUUGCAGACAGCAUCCUCCUCUUUGCUCCUCUCCCCCACCCCACCCCAACCCCGCCGUGUAAACACGAGGACUUUCUCGAGAGCCCUGGAGAGCCGCUCUAGUGGCUUCGGGGCCUGAAACCCCAGGCUUGGCUUGUUUGAUGUUUAGCAUCCCAAAGCGGCUCCCCACCCCCGCCCCAGCCUGGGAACCCCGAGCUCCGGGGCCGAAGAGAAGGGGAAGCAGUUCUCUCAGCUGGAGGGCGGUGGAUUGGCUGGGCUUAGAGAAGUGGCGAAAACUACAGGACUCCCCGCCCUGAGCAGGGGAGAAAGGGAUCCCGGAAUGAUGCGGUCAUCCAUGAGGAUAUAGCUGGAGUCCUAAAGGCCAAGAGGCAGACGGGGAAAGAAAUGUCACAAUUUGGGGGAAUACACUGGAGAUAGGGGCCAGGUCGGUGGAAAUAGCUUGGGGCCACCGCGAAAACAAGGUAAGCGGUGUCUGGGUCCAGUUAGUGAGCAUCGAGAACGGCGUCCACGACUGCAGGGCUAUCAGGGCCUCGAGGAGACAGCGCUCCGUGCCACUGCUUAGUGCUUGGCCUUUCAUAGGGACGAACCUGCUUAGGAGUCUUCCAAGAGAUUUUUAAAUCCUCCGAGUCUGGACCUGGAAGCUCCAUUGGCGACGUUUGGAUCUGGCUUCGUAGUCUUUGAUUUCGAAAGCCCAGGAAGAUUCGCAGACUUUCAAGGCCGCACACACCGCAUUGCCGGGAGUCUGGGCGGCGGUGAGGACUGAGAAGCUGUCUCAAGACCUGAGUCUCUUCUCAGGCGAUCCCAGAUAAGAGGAGAGAGAGAGAGCUUUUCUGACUUCCAACUCAUUAGGGACCAGAUUUGCUCUCCAGCACAGCAAAAGGGUCUGCCUGUGACCCUCACCGAACUCACUCUUCACUGCUUUAUAGAGACCAUCAGACUCAGGACAAAUAUUCUAGUUUGGAUGCGCAAUUAAUAAUAAGAAGAUACAGGACAGAGGCGGACUGAAUGGCUCCAAUUCUCAGAAUGUGAAAGCGUAAAUCAGAACCUACUAUUUUGUAAAACCAACUUGGAAAACAAAAUUGUCAGAAGCAAAACAACAACAACAACAACAAUAAAAACCAAACCAACAACAAAACCAAGCAAGUCAGGCUGUUUUACCAAUAAAGGGGGCACUGAAUGGAAUCAGAGAUCUGAUAAGUGCCGGGAAGUUGGACUAAGAGGGACAGGAGACUUCGAAACUUCUCUGAAUACUGCCAACUGUCAGUACUGCAAGUGGUCCACCCACCAAAGAGAUGGAACUCAACGUGGUAGAAUAGAAGCUGAGACAUGUGGACUUGACAGACUUGAGACUCGGCUAUUCAUCCCAGCUCUGAGAGCCCAUGCAGCUCAUUGAGCCUUCGCGACUCCUGGUUUUACUUUCAGCAAAAUGGAGAUAUUAAGACAGGUUCCCUUGUGGUCCAGGAGACCUCAAACUCUCUCUGUAGAUGAGGAUAACCUUGAAUUCCUGAUCCUCCUGCUCUCAUCUUUCAAAAUAGAUGCCUCCAAGGUGAUUUACACGUUCUUCUUGUCUUGAGGUUUGGGAUUCCCGUUUUGGGUCUGCAGAAUUGAGACAGUGCUCCAGCAAGAAUUCCAUCUCUGUCUGUUUUAUUCCCACUGAAGAGAAAAAUGACUUUAAUGGCAACAACAAAUGCUUCACUUGUUAGCCUUUCUGUUCCCGACCCUGACACAAAUAAACUAAUAUUCCAUCUACCCGGCACCGGCCUGAGCUCUGGGAUCAGUACACGUCAACCUGAACCCGGAAGAGUUCCAAGUAUCUUUCCCCUUCUCUGUCAGGUUCGUGUUACCCUGAACCUGUGAGCUCAGAAGGAAUUUUCUGGUUUUCGGGAGACGGCAGCCAUUCAUCAUAGCUCUCCACCACUGACUGACUGAGAGUCAAUUAUCAUCAAACAUCCAUCUGCCCAUGAUGCUAAUUAUUCCUACUCCAUGAUUGAGGAUUUGGAGUCGGAGACUCACCUGCAAUAUUUGGAAUACCAGUGGAGAUCCAUAUCAACAUGGAAUUUAUACAGCAGCUGGUGCCAGUCACAGCUAAUGAUGAAACUUCAGCUUAAUAAAAAGACCCCCAACUGAGUACAACCAUCUCGAAGAAAGUGUACUUAUCAAACAGCUUUCAAUCAGUUCAAGAGAGACACCUUAAUUGUGAAGAGCAAGAACCGCACAGCAGUUGUCACCAUGCCAACUUCAGAUCAAUGGCACUUCCACUGCUCUUGGUACAUAUAGCCUUGCCUAUGUCCUUAACUGCACCAACAUCCUUCCUGUUGGGAUGAGAUCUUGUCAGCUGCUAGCGUGUGAUGAUGCCUUCGUUCAUUACAUUACUAUACCCCUUAGCAAAAUUUAAACGUGUAAUGAUAAAGGUCACUACCUUUUCCUUUAAUUAAGACCUCUAUUUCUUGUUACCAGAAACAAGUGCCUAUGACAUUUUGUAUUUUCAGAAAUUAUCCUGUUGAAAUAAAGCUACACAAACAAAAUAAAA